GCUGCAGCUGUUGAACAGGGAGGAGAGGAGGACCGCAGCUGUGGAGACAUGGCAGCCAGUGAAGACCCCAAAAGAUGUAGAAGACGCAGUAUGGAUGAACCUCCAUCAGUCAGGAUGGUCCUCACUGGGAGAACUGGAGCAGGAAAAAGCUCCAGUGGAAACACCAUACUGGGAAGAGACGCCUUCAGUGCAGCCAUCAGUCACUUCUCAGGUAACACACA